GAAUUCACUAGUGAUUCAGGCCUAACACAUGCAAGUCGAGCGGUAGAGAGAAGCUUGCUUCUCUUGAGAAAAGCGGACGGGUGAGUAAUGCCUAGGAAUCUGCCUGGUAGUGGGGGAUCUCGUUC
rnacentral:rRNA from 1 species